UUUUCUUUUUUGGUUAUUUUCCAAAAUUAUCCCAAAUCUUUAAAAGGUAAUUCUUCCAAUAUUUAAGCCCCUUUUUGUUUUUCAUUCUAUAUUUUCUUCUGGUUUUCAUUGUUAUUAACUUUUAUUUUCUUCUUUUUUUUUUUCUCCUUUUUUUUUUUUUUUCCCAAAAAGAUUAGGUUUUGGAUUUAGGAAUCUGUACCUGUUUUUGAUUUUUUUUGUGAAUCGGGUUCACAAUUCGUUUUCUUUUUAUCAUUUCAGAGGUUAAAUCUGCGUCUUAUAUCUUUUGUUUUUAUAAAAUUUAGGAUUUGUAUAAUCGUUGAAAAAGAAAAAAGUGAGUACUUAAUCCUGAAAAUCAAAGGCCCUAAAUUAGGUUUUUUUAGUAUCUAGCUGUUUGUGAAGUGUGAUUGUCAAGGUAAAUUUCCAAUCUUUGUGGCGAUUCAUAUCGAUUUGCUGGAAAAGAUGAAGACUUGCAGAAAAUGUUCACUAAAAGCGGAGUCCGUUUGUACAUAUUUCUCCAUGGCAUCAUUUCUCCAGUCCAAGAAUCCAAGAGAAGAAUUGUAUAUAUCUCUUAUAAUUAACCUUUAGGAUUUAGCUUGUGAAUACAAAUUCCUUUAGAUGGAAGCAAAACGGGCAAAAGCUUUGGAUAAUGGCCAGAAUAUGGUUAUCAAUUUGAAAAGAAAAUGUCCAGCUAGAUGUGAAGCACAAAUAGUUGGAGUUAAUCACAAGGUGUUGCCUCAGCAAUCCAACUUGAGCUCAUCUUUUGACAAGCUUGACAAGCACAGGUUUCUAGAUGGUUGCAGGACUAAAUGUAAAUCAAUCCCUAGGAGAUCUUUACUCAAGAACUAUGCAAAUUUUAGGAGAAGUGGGCUUCCUCAACGAUUUUUGUAUCAUGAAACAGGGGAAUGGAUAGAUUAUCCUCAAGAAAUCGUUGAGUUGAUAAGGAAACAAUAUCAGUCGAAAAACCCAGCCUUAGAGGUAAAUUUUAAUGGCCAAUGGAUUUUACUAGAUAUUUUGCAUAUGAUCCAGAUGGAGCUGAAAACGGGUCUAAUAAAGGACAUUGCUUGGAUUGAUGAAGCAGGUCAUUGCUUCUUUCCAGAAGUACUAACCGGUGAUUGUGGAAUGCACAAGUGCUGUAUGUCUGAGUUAAACAAUUGCGCUAAUGCAGAAUCUAGUGGGAACUGUGAGAUUAAAUUGCAGCUUGAGAUUGGAAUAGCUGGAACCAAUAGCUUUGACUUAGAGGAAUGCGUUGGAGAGUCCAACCAUCAUGCUAAGAGAGCUAAAAAUAAUCCAAAACCUGUCAGCAGCAAUGAGGAUCUGGAAGUAAAUGACCAUUGCAAUAAAAGAUCAGGUCCCACAAUGCAAGUGACCUGCGAGGAUAUUCAGAAGAACAAUGAACUUAUAAGCACUAAUUAUGAACAAACUUGUGGAAAACUGGAUUAUAAAAUGGUUGAAAAAAUGUUUGUUUCAGGCAUGUUAUCAAGUGUGGAGGUAAUCGAGAUUAAGUGUUGUUCUGACCAUUUGAUGCAAACUCAGAUGGAGCUCUUCCAAAAGCAGUUUGAAAUAACCAAGAAGAUUCGAGGGAAUCCAAAUAUCUGUUUAGGUUGGCUGGCUGCUAGUAAAGAUUCUUCAUCUAGCUUCAUGAUACAUGGGCUGGAUUUUGGUGCACCCAAAAUCAUGUCUUCAUAUGGCAGUGGAGUUCACCUGUCAUCUAUGAACUGUGCCCAUAUUAGUGCAAAAUAUUGUGAUGAUGACGAAAAAGGGGUAAGACACAUGGUUCUCUGUCGUGUCAUAUUGGGGAGUGUCGAAGUAGUAAAUCCUGGAUCUGGACAGUGUUGUCCCAGUUCUGGAAACUUUGACUGUGGAGUUGAUGACCUUCAGAACCCUUGCUGUUAUAUAAUAUGGAAUAUGAAUAUCAACACCCAUAUUCUUCCUGAAUAUGUUGUCAGUUUCAAGACAUCUUCCAGUUUUGAAGGGGUUAAGGGCGAAGUUAGCAGAAUAGAUGAAUGUGCAAUUGCUAAUCUUGAUGGUUCUACAGGCAAACAGAAAAUGGACUGCUUACAAGUUGAAUCAGGUGGAAGUUGUGAACCAGUUGUAGAUUUCGAGAAGGGGUCCCAGGCUGUUGGCCUUGGCUCGAACUCUUUGAAAACUCCUAAAUCCCCUUGGAUGCCUUUUGCUAGAUUGUUUGAAACUAUUUCAAAAGAAGUAGCUCCUGAAGUUAUGAAAUUGGUGAAUGUUCAUUUUGACCUAUUCAGGAGCAAGGAGAUCAGUCGGGAUGAUUUUAUUAAGAAGUUGAGGUCAAUAGUUGGAGAUAAAUUGUUGAGGUCCUCCAUUAUGAGUCUUCAGCGUAAGCCAUGCCCCUAAUCUGCAAGUACUUUGAAAGUGCCAAAUCAGGAACAAGAACUUUGAUGCUGUUGAUGAAUUUGGGGUGGAUAAAUAUCUGACUCUGGCGGGGUUAUUUAAUUUAUGUGGCUUUUUGGGAAGCCCAUUCCACAGCGCUCAUGACUCGGUGACCUACUUGUGGUAGUGGAAAUUCUCCCCUUGGUCAAAAACUUGGUUGGAUGUGGGAUUUACUUCACGAGGAGCGAUACAGAUGUAGAUAAUAUCAUCAGGACCUCUCUUUUCAUACCACUAGGCUUGGCCUUUUCCUAUUGAUGCGAUGGUAACUUGAGAUAAAAUGUCAGAAGAAAGCUCUUUACCUAGCUUCCUUUCCUACUAGACUUUAUCCUGACCUAUCGGAGAAAUGCCUAAUUCCCUAUUCAAGGCGGGACUAUUUUAAUGGAAUAAGUUUGCUAUUGAAUCAGCUAUGAUAAAGGGAGUAGAGAUGAUGAUAGAGAUCAUAUUGAGAAACAGAAGAAUUUUACACGAUAUGUUAUGCAUUUUUUAAUCAUUUUACGAAGAUUAUGGUCUUGUAACAAAAAUUCUGAUCAUGUUACUUAGUUUAUAGCAUGUUAUUCAUUUGUUGGUCAUGUUACGAAAAUUAUGAUCGCGUUACAAAAAUUGUGGUCAAUAUUACUAAAUUUGUUGCA